CCCCGACCUCCUCCGCCUCCUCCGUCAAUAUCCCUCUGCUUAAUCGAUUUGGGAAGACCUUCGAUUGGUCUUUGAAGCCCAACCUGAUGGGGAUUGCUUGCACACAAGGUACAAUCUUUAUUAAUUGAGCUUGAGUUGGAGUUUUUGAAUUUGAUUGAGUUUUUAAGUUCAUUGUAUUGGAUUUUGGGCUUUCAUGUUCGAUUUGUGAUUAAAUUGAGUGUUUUGAUGUUGAAUUAUGUCAAUGUAUUGAGGAUUUGAUGUGGAUCUGUUCUUUGUCUUGAUUUCUUGCAAACAGAUACCUGGUGAGAUUUCUUGCACACAAGGUGUUUGAUAUAAUGUAUUGGUGAAAACCGAGAGAUGAUUAGUUGUUCAGAAUAAUAGCUUUGAUUUGUCUUAGUGAGUGCAUUCUGUGGUGAGAGAGGAAUGGACAGUUGAAGUUUAAUUUUGAUAAGGGAAUGCUCUAUGAAGGAGUGCCUGAAGAUAGAAUGUUGAAGCUUCUUCAGAUUGCAUUGAAGUGCAUAUACAAAUCUAUCGAUGCUCGACCAACUAUGAGCCAAGUUGCCGAGAUGAUACAUUCAUUGAAGGAAGAAGAGGAUAGGUCUGUUGUGUCUGAAAUUGAUUCAAGAGAUGCUUAAAAUUGGGGAGUCUGUUUUUAUAAUGUCCUGGAAUUUAUGUAUAUGUUCCGUUUGACUAUUA